AAUAAUUAAAGGAGUUUGAUGAGGAAAUUUACUAUAAAAGUUAAAGGUGAAAUUUGGUGUUUAAGUGUAGUAAGUUUGUUUAUUAAGAGUUCUUGAGGUUAUAAAAUUUUAGAUCUAAAUCAGGAUUAGAUACCCUGUUAUACUAUCUUUCAAUUUAAGGAUACUUGAGUAGUAAACAGUUAUGUUCUCGAAACUUAAAGGAUUUGGCGGUAUUUUAGUCUAGUUAGAGGAACCUGUUCUAUAAACGAUAAACCACGAAGAAUCUUACUCUUUUUUGUAAAUCAGUUUGUAUACCGUCAUUAUUAGAUAAUCUUUAUAAAGAAUUAUUAAAAUAAGUAUUUUAGUAUAUUAGAUCAAGGUGCAGCCAAUAGGGGAGCAAGAAAUGGGUUACAAUGUUAUUGAUAUAAACUGGGAAGAAGCUGAAAAUUUUUUUGAAGGUGGAUUUAAUAGUAAUAGUCUUUUAAUAAGGGAUUAUGAUAAUAGCUCUAAGAUAUGUACACAUCGCCCGUCGCUCUCACUCUUAAUGU
rnacentral:rRNA from 1 species